ACCUGGCUCACACCGGUUUAAACUCAGAUCAUGUAAAAUUUUAAAGGUCGAACAGACCUAAUUUACUAGCUUCUACACCAAUAAUUAAUUUUAAUCCAACAUCGAGGUCGCAAUCUUUCUUUUCGAUAAGAACUCUAAAAAAAAUUACGCUGUUAUCCCUAAGGUAAUUCAAUCUUAUAAUCUAAACUUUAGGAUCAUAUAUACACUAAUAAAUGAUAUUAUAAAAAAAAAGUUAAUUUAAUUUUUCUAUCUCCCCAACAAAAUAUUUUUUCAUUAAAAUAAUUUAUAAACCUUAAAUUUCAAUUAACUUAAAAUAUAAAACUCUAUAGGGUCUUCUCGUCUUCUAUAUACAUUUAAGCUUUUUUACUUAAAAAUAAAAUUCUAAUAAAUUUUUAUAGAGACAGCUACCUUCUCAUCAAACCUUUCAUUCCAGCUUUCAAUUAAAAAACUAUUGAUUAUGCUACCUUUGCACGGUUAAUAUACCGCGGCCAUUAAAAUACUCAUUGGGCAGGUCAGACUUAAAAUUAUAGUUAAUAAGCC
rnacentral:rRNA from 1 species